AUGGCAACCAACCCUCGGUUCGUGGCGUCGUUCGACGUGGAGAGCAGCGACAAGUACACCAGCUUCAUCGCGGGCAUCCGCAGCAGGGUCGCCAACACGAAGCACUACUCCCACAACGUCCCCGUGCUGCCGCCGGCGGACCCGCCCGGCACCCCGCCGCGCCGGUGGUUCCACGUGGUGCUCAGGACGCGGACCAGCACGCUCACGCUCGCCAUCCGGGCCGACAACCUCUACCUGGAGGGCUUCCGGAGCAGCAACGGCACGUGGUGGGAGCUCACGCCCCGCAUCAUCGCGGGCGCCACCCACCUGGGCUUCGGCGGCACCUACCGCGACCUCCUCGGCGACACGGACAAGCUGGCCGGCGUCGCGCUCGGCCCGCAGCAGAUGGCCGAGGCCGUGAACGCGCUCGCCGCGCGCACCGCGGCCGACGCCGGCUCCGGUGCCAAGCAGCAGCAGGCGAGGGAGGCCGUGGUGGCGCUGCUGCUCAUGGUGAACGAGGCCGCGCGGUUCCAGACCGUGUCGGGGUUCGUGGCCGGCCUGAUGCACCCGAGGGCGGCGAAGAACAAAGGGACCAUCACCGGGGAGAUGAAAGCGCAGGUGAACGGGUGGCAGGACCUCUCCGCGGCGCUGCUGAAGACGGAUAAAUAUGGAGACGCAUCUACUAGCAAGAACUCUAAAGACAAGAAGCCAACGCCGAAAGGCCCGGAAAAAUCAGCUCCUGAAGGCCCGGCAACGUUCACGGCGUUUGACAAGAUCGGGGUGAAGACGGCGGACCAGGCGGCCGCCACGCUGGCGAUCCUGCUGUUCGUCGCCGUGGAGGGCGGGAUGGCCAGGGACAAGGCGCUGCAGCUGUUUCGUGGGACUCCAAAUUACUAG
rnacentral:rRNA from 1 species